UAAAGUGAAAUUUUGAAAAGGAAUAUUUUGCAAAGAUGAAUGAAAGAGAGGCGGUUGCACGGCUGAAACAACUGCUCAUCAUCAGUGAAAUACGCUACCUUUUUCGAGCAUAACCUGCCGUCUCAUCAACGUUAAAUGAUGUUUGAGAGGUAAUGAUGUCUAUGUCGUUGCAAUUAGGGUGGUACCGCGAAUUUUCGUCCCUAAU
rnacentral:ncRNA from 1 species